CAGCAGCCGCGGGAAUACGUAGGUGGCAAGCGUUGUCCGGAAUUAUUGGGCGUAAAGCGCGCGCGGGUGGUUUAGUAAGUCUGAUGUGAAAGCCCACGGCUCAACCGUGGAGGGUCAUUGGAAACUGGGAAACUUGAGUGCAGAAGAGGAGAGUGGAAUUCCACGUGUAGCGGUGAAAUGCGUAGAGAUGUGGAGGAACACCAGUGGCGAAGGCGACUCUCUGGUCUGUAACUGACGCUGAGGAGCGAAAGCGUGGGGAGCGAACAGGAUUAGAUACCCGCGUAGUCCCUGUCUCUUAUAC
rnacentral:rRNA from 1 species